CCUACGGGGGGCAGCAGUAGGGAAUCUUCGGCAAUGGACGAAAGUCUGACCGAGCAACGCCGCAUGAGUGAAGAAGGUUUUCGGAUCGUAAAACUCUGUUGUUAGAGAAGAAUAAGGAUGAGAGUAACUGUUCAUCCCUUGACGGUAUCUAACCAGAAAGCCACGGCUAACUACGUGCCAGCAGCCGCGGUAAUACGUAGGUGGCAAGCGUUGUCCGGAUUUAUUGGGCGUAAAGCGAGCGCAGGCGGUUUCUUAAGUCUGAUGUGAAAGCCCCCGGCUCAACCGGGGAGGGUCAUUGGAAACUGGGAGACUUGAGUGCAGAGGAGGAGGGUGGAAUUCCAUGUGUAGCGGUGAAAUGCGUAGAUAUAUGGAGGAACACCAGUGGCGAAGGCGGCUCUCUGGUCUGUAACUGACGCUGAGGCUCGAAAGCGUGGGGAGCAAACAGGAUUAGAUACCCCUGUAGUC
rnacentral:rRNA from 1 species